GACGAACGCUGGCGGCGUGCUUAAUACAUGCAAGUCAACCGAAUUUGAGGUAGCAAUAUCUCAAGUAAGGUGGCGCACGGGUGAGUAACACGUAGGUAAUCUGCCUUUAGGACUGACAUAACCUAUCGAAAGGUAGGCUAAUAUCAGAUGAUGCAGCGGCUCGACAUCGAGACAGUUGUUAAACCUUCGGGGCCUGAAGAUGAGCCUGCGUCUGAUUAGGUAGUUGGCGGAGUAAAAGCCCACCAAGCCUGCGAUCAGUAGCUGGUCUGAGAGGAUGAUCAGCCACACUGGAACUGAGACACGGUCCAGACUCCUACGGGAGCAGCAGUAAGGAAUAUUGCGCAAUGGGCG
rnacentral:rRNA from 1 species